UUGGUACUCCCUCCGUCCGGAAAAACUUGUCCCUUAAAUGGAUGUAUCUAGCACCAAGUUAGUGCUAGAUACAUCCAUUUGACAAACAAGCUUGGGACAAGUUUUUCCGGACGGAGGGAGUACAAC
rnacentral:pre_miRNA from 1 species